UCAGGAUGAACGCUAGCUACAGGCUUAACACAUGCAAGUCGAGGGGCAGCAUGGAGUUUGCUUGCAAACUCUGAUGGCGACCGGCGCACGGGUGAGUAACGCGUAUCCAACCUUCCCUAUAGUAGAGGAUAGCCCGGCGAAAGUCGGAUUAAUACUCUAUGUUUUCCGUUGCAGACAUCUAAGAUGGAACAAAGGCUUGCCGCUAUAGGAUGGGGAUGCGUCUGAUUAGGUAGUCGGCGGGGUAACGGCCCACCGAGCCAUCGAUCAGUAGGGGUUCUGAGAGGAAGGUCCCCCACAUUGGAACUGAGACACGGUCCAAACUCCUACGGGAGGCAGCAGUGAGGAAUAUUGGUCAAUGGACGAGAGUCUGAACCAGCCAAGUAGCCGUGCAGGACGACGGCCCUAUGGGUUGUAAACUGCUUUUAUGCGGGGAUAAAGUUCACUACGUGUAGUGUUUUGUAGGUACCGCAUGAAUAAGGACCGGCUAAUUCCGUGCCAGCCGCCGC
rnacentral:rRNA from 1 species